rnacentral:rRNA from 1 species
GUCGCAGCGGUACAGGGGUAGCUUGCUACCCGCUGACGAGCGGCGGACGGGUGAGUAAUGCAUAGGAAUCUGCCCGAUAGUGGGGGAUAACCUGGGGAAACCCAGGCUAAUACCGCAUACGUCCUACGGGAGAAAGGGGGCUUCGGCUCCCGCUAUUGGAUGAGCCUAUGUCGGAUUAGCUAGUUGGUAAGGUAAUGGCUUACCAAGGCAACGAUCCGUAGCUGGUCUGAGAGGAUGAUCAGCCACAUCGGGACUGAGACACGGCCCGAACUCCUACGGGAGGCAGCAGUGGGGAAUAUUGGACAAUGGGGGCAACCCUGAUCCAGCCAUGCCGCGUGUGUGAAGAAGGCCCUCGGGUUGUAAAGCACUUUCAGCGAGGAAGAACGCCUAUCGGUUAAUACCCGGUAGGAAAGACAUCACUCGCAGAAGAAGCACCGGCUAACUCCGUGCCAGCAGCCGCGGUAAUACGGAGGGUGCAAGCGUUAAUCGGA